rnacentral:rRNA from 1 species
UACAGAGGUCUCAAGCGUUGUUCGGAAUCACUGGGCGUAAAGGGUGCGUAGGCCGCAGGGUAAGUCAGAGGUGAAAUCCCGGAGCUCAACUUCGGAAUUGCCUCCGAUACUGCCGUGCUUGAGGACUGGAGAGGAGUCUGGAAUUCACAGUGGAGCAGUGAAAUGCGUAGAUAUUGUGAGGAACACUAGUGGCGAAGGCGAGACUCUGGACAGUUCCUGACGCUGAGGCACGAAGGCCAGGGGAGCAAACGGG